CUUCUGAGGAGAACAUGAGCAGUGAAGAUUCACCUUGGAGCUAGAACAGAGACAUGCACAUGAUUAUACAGGGGCAGGGGCUCAAGUUUUUUCCAGUCGUUUAUACAAUAUGGAAAUUAAUGUGAAAUUAAAACACAAAGUAUUAAUAGAAAGGUAAUGACUGUCCUGUGUAGGUGACAGUGAUAUCCAAUAGGCUAGGCACUCACGAGGCUGGCUGUGGCAAGUGUAAGUGAAAGCAACACGCACUGGCAGGAAGAACAGCAAACGCCGAUGAAGGAAAAGGGUCUUUGCAGUGAUGGGCGUUACCAGAGAGGGCGAUGGCCAGAGGACACAAAUGGGACGGGAAGGCAGCACGUUGGGGGGGGGGGGGGGGGGGGACACGGCUCGGGCCCGCCAGUGCCCCAACUGGGUCCUAGUUAGGGCCCGAGCGUAGCUGCUAAGCAGCUGCGAGAGCCCUAUUAUUCCUGAUGGAUUCUUCUUUCUUCUUCUUCUUCUUAUUAUUUUUCUGCCCCUUUGAACUGGAAAAUGGCCCACUUCCCACUGGUGAAAAGUCAUGAAAUUUGGCAGGACGACCGGGCCUGGUGAAAAAUUCGAUAUUCUGAAGUCGCCCAAAAAUCAAAUGCAAAAUGGCUCCAUAGCGCCCCCUAAGGUGAAAAAUUCACAUGAUUGAGUGUCACGCCUGUACGCUUUGUCAAAAUGACACAAAAUUUGACACACACGUGUAUCUCAAUAAGAUCUACAAAAAAGUCAGUGCGGGCGUAUCUGUCAAAUGUACGGUUAAAGGGCUAUUUCGCAUUUUUUGCCGAUCCGCACACAUUGGAAUUUCGCUAACUCCUCCGAAGGCUUUCGUUCCACCGGCACCAAAUUUGCUCAGGCCAAUCUACACCCCAUGGCCAUUAAAAGUUGUACAAAUCAUGACGCUGCAUCCCACGGUUUACGUUCUAGGGGGCGCCAAAGAUAACCCAGAAAUCCACAUUCUUAAAAGUCGUAUAACUUCUUAUUUUUGUCCUCACUGGCCUCCAAGUUUUCUAGGAUGAUGCAAUGUCCAGCCAUCAACACAUUUGUGAAGGAAUUUUUACUCCCCAAAAGAGCGCCCCCCCAUGGCAGGAGAAAAAAGUCCAUUUUUUCUUGUCUCCUAAGGCGAAAAUUCACACUAUUGACUGUCACGCCUUUACGCUUUGUCAUAUUGACACAAAAAUUGACACACACAUGUAUCUCAAUAAGAUCUACAAAAAAGUCAGUGCGGGCGUAUCUGUCAAAUGUACGGUGAAAGGGCUAUUUCGCAUUUUUUGCCGAUCCGCACACAUUGGAAUUUCGCUAACUCCUCCGAAGGCUUUCGUUCCAAAGGCACCACAUUUGCUGAGGCCAAUCUACACCCCAUGGCCAUUAAAAGUUGUACAAAUCAUGAUGCUGCACCCCACGGUUUAGGUUCUAGGGGGCGCCAAAGAUAACCCAAAAAUCCACAGUCUUAAAAGUCUUAUAACUUUUUAUUUUUGUCCUCACUGGCCUCCAAGUUCUCUAGGAUGAUGCAAUGUCCAGCCAUCAACACAUUUGUGAAGGAAUUUUUACUCGCCAAAAGAGCGCCCCCCCCAUGGCAGGAGAAAAAGUCAAGUUUUUCCUGCCCAUCGCUCAAUGGCUCAAACGCAUCGCUCUCUCGGCAAAACCGAAAGGAGGAGCAACUUGCCAUUUGGAUAUAUACUAGCUGUGUUUGUGCCCUCACUCAUGGUCCAGACUUUUUUCAAAAAGGACAUGGAGUUUGUCUGCAGCGAGCGUUUUGGUAGAAACUGCGCCUCCCAUUCAUUAUAAUGGUAAAUGACCACAGACAAGUGCGCACACCAUCUUUGGACCUUGAGUGUGACGCGAUCGGGAGGGGUAGGCGGUCGCGCUGGGGGCGGCACGACACGGCUCGGGCCCGCCAGUGCCCCAACGGGGCCCUAGUUAUUUUUCCUCCCCUUUGAACUGGAAAAUGGCCCACUUCCCACCCGCGAAAACUCAUGAAAAUUGGCAGGACGACCGGGCCUGGUGAAAAAUUUGAUAUUCCGAAGUCGCCCAAACAAGAAAAUGCAAAAUGGCUCCAUAGCGCCCCCUAAGGUGAAAAUUCACACUAUUGACUGUCACGCCUGUACGCUUUGUCAAAAUGACACAAAAAUUGACACACACAUGUAUCUCAGUAAGAUCUACAAAAAAGUCAGUGCGGGCGUAUCUGUCAAAUGUACGGUUAAAGGGUUAUUUCGCAUUUUUUGCCGAUCCGCACACAUUGGAAUUUCGCUAACUCCUCCGAAGGCUUUCGUUCCACCGGCACCACAUUUGCUCAGGCCAAUCUACACCCCAUGGCCAUUAAAAGUUAUUCAAAUCAUGACGCUGCACCCCAAGCUUUAGGUUCUAGGGGGCGCCAAAGAUAACCCUAAGAUCCACAUAUUUAAAAGUCUUAUAACUUUUUAUUUUUGCCCUCACUGGCCUCCAAGUUUUCUAGGAUGAUGCAAUGUCCAGCCAUCAACACAUUUGUGAAGGAAUUUUUACUCCCCAAAAGAGCGCCACCCCAUGGCAGGAGAAAAAAGUCAAUUUUUUCUUGUCCCCUAAGGUGAAAAUACACAUUGUUGAGUGUAACACCUGUACGCUUUGUCAAAAUGACACAAAAAUUGACACAAACAUGUAUCUCAAUAAGAUCUACGAAAAAGUCAAUGCGCGCGUAUCUGUCAAAUGUACGGUUAAAGGGUUAUUCCGCAUUUUUUGCCGAUCCGCACACAUUGGAAUUUCGCUAACUACUCCGAAGGCUUUCGUUCCACCGGCACCACAUUUGCUCAGGCCAAUCUACACCCCAUGGCCAUUAAAAGUUAUUCAAAUCAUGACGCUGCAUCCCACGGUUUAGGUUCUAGGGGGCGCCAAAGAUAACCCUAAAAUCCACAUAUUUCAAAGUCUUAUAACUUUUUAUUUUUGUCCUCACUGGCCUCCAAGUUUUCUAGGAUGAUGCAAUGUCCAGCCAUCAACACAUUUGUGAAGGAAUUUUUACUCCCCAAAAGAGCGCCCCCCCAUGGCAGGAGAAAAAAGUCAAUUUUUUCUUGUCCCCUAAGGUGGAAAUUCACACUAUUGACUGUCACGCCUGUACGCUUUAUCAUAUUGACACAAAAAUUGACACACAUAUGUAUCUCAAUAAGAUCUACAAAAAAGUCAAUUCGCGCGUAUCUGUCAAAUGUACGGUUAAAGGGCUAUUUUGCAUUUUUUGCCGAUUCGCACACAUUGGAAUGUGGCUAACUCCUCCUAAGGCUUUCGUCCCACUGACACCAAAUUUGCUCAGGCCAAUCUACACCCCAUGGCCAUUCAAAGUUGUAAAAAUCAUGACGCUGCACCCCACGGUUUACGUUCUAGGGGGCGCCAAAGAUGACCCAAAAAUCCACAUUCUUAAAAGAAUCCACAUCCCCCCCCCCAUGGCAGGAGAAAAAGUCAAGUUUUUCCUGCCCAUCGCUCAAUGGCUCAAUCGCAUCGCUCUCCAGGCAACACCGUAAGGAGGAGCAACCUGGCAUUUCGAUUUAUCAUAGCUGUGUUUGUGCCCUCACUCAUGGUCCAGACUUUUUUCAAAUAGGACAUGAAGUUUGUCUGCAGCGAGUGUUUUGGUAGAAACUGCGCCUCCCAUUCAUUAUAAUGGGAAAUGACCACAGACAAGUGCGCACACCAUCUUUGGUUCUUGAGUGUGACUCGAUCGGGACGGGGAGGCGGUCGCACUGGGGGCGGCGCGACGCGGCUCGGGCCCGACAGUGCCCCACCGGGGCCCUAGUUCUUUCUUAGGGCCCGAGCGUAGCUGCUAAGCAGCUGCGAGAGCCCUAUUAUUCCUGAUGGAUUCUUCUUUAGGGCCCGAGCGUAGCUGCUAAGCAGCUGCGAGAGCCCUCUUGUUCCUGCAUGUUUCCUUCUUUCGUUAUUAUUUUUCCUCCGCUUUAAACUGGAAAAUGGCCCACUUCCCACUGGCGAAAACUCAGGAAAUUUGGCAGGAUGACCGGGCCUGGUGAAAAAUUCGAUAUUCUGAAGACGCCCAAACAAUAAAAUGCAAAAUGGCUCCAUAGCGCCCCCUAAGGUGAAAAUUAACAUGAUGGCUGUACGCUUUGUCAUAUUGACACAAAAAUUGACACACACAUGUAUCUCAAUAAGAUCUACAAAAAAGUCAGUGCGGGCGUGUCUGUCAAAUGUACGGUUAAUGGGUUAUUUUGCAUUUUUUGCAGAUCUGCACACAUUGGAAUUUCGCUAACUCCUCCGAAGGCUUUCGUUCGACCGGCACCACAUUUGCGCAGGCCAAUCUACCCCCCAUGGCCAUUAAAAGUUGUACAAAUCAUGACGCUGCACCCCACGGUUUAGGUUCUAGGGGGCGCCAAAGAUAACCCUAAAAUCCACAUAUUUAAAAGUCUUAUAACUUUUUAUUUUUGUCCUCACUGGCCUCCAAGUUUUCUAGGAUGAUGCAAUGUCCAGCCAUCAACACAUUUGUGAAGGAAUUUUUACUCCCCAAAAGAGCGCCCCCCAAUGGCAGGAGAAAAAGGUCCAUUUUUUCUUGUCUCCUAAGGUGAAAAUACACAUUGUUGAGUGUCACGCCUGUAUGCUUUGUCAUAUUGACACAAAAUUUGACAAUCACGUGUAUCUCAAUAAGAUCUACGAAAAAGUCAAAGGGCAUGUAUCUGUCAAAUGUACGGUUAAAGGGCUAUUUUGCAUUUUUUGCCGAUCCGCACACAUUGGAAUUUCGGUAACUCCUCCGAAGGCUAUCUUUCCACCGGCACCAAAUUUGCUCAGGCCAAUCUACACCCCAUGGCCAUUAAAAGUUGUACAAAUCAUCUUGCUGCACCCCACGGUUUGGGUUCUAGGGGGCACCAAAUAUAACCCAAAAAUCCACAUUCUUAAAAGUCUUAAAACUUUUUAUUUUUUUCCAUACUGGCCUCCAAGUUUUUUAGGAUGAUGCAAUGUCCAGCAAUUAACACAUUUGUGAAGGAAUUUUUACUCGCCAAAAGAGCGCCCCCCCAUGGCAGGAGAAAAAAGUCCAUUUUUUCUUGUCCCCUAAGGCGAAAAUACACAUUGUUGAGUGUCACGCCUGUACGCUUUGUCAUAUUGACACAAAAUUUGACAAUCAAGUGUAUCUCAAUAAGAUCUACGAAAAAGUCAAUGUGCGCGUAUCUGCAAAAUGUAUGGUUAAAGGGCUAUUUCGCAUUUUUUGCCGAUUCGCACACAUUGGAAUGUGGCUAACUCCUCCUAAAGCUUUCAUCCCAAUGGCACCAAAUUUGCUCAGGCCAAUCUACACCCCAUGGCCAUUAAAAGUUGUAAAAAUCAUGAUGCUGCACCCCACGGUUUACGUUCUAGGGGGCGCCAAAGAUAACCCAAAAAUCCACAUUUUCAAAAGUCUUAUAACUUUUUAUUUUUGUCCUCACUGGCCUCCAAGUUUUCUAGGAUAAUGCAAUGUUCAGCCAUCAACACAAUUGUGAAGGAAUUUUUACUCCCCAAAAGAGCGCCCCCCCAUGGCCAGAGAAAAAGUCAAGUUGUUCCUGCCCAUCGCUCAAUGGCUUAAACGC